UGAUUUAUAAUAGGAGAGCAUAUGAUU
rnacentral:miRNA from 1 species